rnacentral:rRNA from 2 species
UAGGGAAUCUUCGGCAAUGGGGGGAACCCUGACCGAGCAACGCCGCGUGAGUGAAGAAGGUUUUCGGAUCGUAAAGCUCUGUUGUUAAGGAAGAACGAGUGUGAGAAUGGAAAGUUCAUGCUGUGACGGUACUUAACCAGAAAGGGACGGCUAACUACGUGCCAGCAGCCGCGGUAAUACGUAGGUCCCGAGCGUUGUCCGGAUUUAUUGGGCGUAAAGCGAGCGCAGGCGGUUAGAAAAGUCUGAAGUGAAAGGCAGUGGCUCAACCAUUGUAGGCUUUGGAAACUGUUUAACUUGAGUGCAGAAGGGGAGAGUGGAAUUCCAUGUGUAGCGGUGAAAUGCGUAGAUAUAUGGAGGAACACCGGUGGCGAAAGCGGCUCUCUGGUCUGUAACUGACGCUGAGGCUCGAAAGCGUGGGGAGCGAACAG